UACGAAGGGGGCUAGCGUUGCUCGGAAUCACUGGGCGUAAAGCGCACGUAGGCGGAUUGUUAAGUCAGGGGUGAAAUCCUGGAGCUCAACUCCAGAACUGCCUUUGAUACUGGCGAUCUUGAGUCCGGGAGAGGUGAGUGGAACUCCGAGUGUAGAGGUGAAAUUCGUAGAUAUUCGCAAGAACACCAGUGGCGAAGGCGGCUCACUGGUCCGGUUCUGACGCUGAGGCGCGAAAGCGUGGGGAGCAAACAGG
rnacentral:rRNA from 1 species